GGCCAUAAAUUUGUUUCUCACAAUUCUGGAGGCUGAGAAAUUGAAGAACAAGAUGCCCACAAGGUAGGUUUCAUUCUGAGGCCCCUUCUCUUGGCUUGAAGGAGGCUGCUGUAUGGCUUUAUGGUCACAUGACCUCUUCACUGUGAUCACAGCAAGCUGUCUGGUGUCUUUCCCCCCACCUUUUAAAAAAAAAUUGUUUUUGGCCACUCCUUGUGGCUUGUAAGAUCUCAGUGCCCUGACCAAGAAUUGAACUGGGACCACGGCAGUGGAAGCCCAGAAUUCUAACCACUAUGACACCAGGGAACUCCCUGGUGUGUCUUCUUAACUGGACACUUAAAAGGAUGGAGGUCCAUAACAUUGUACAGAAGGCAGUGACCAAAAUCAUCCCUAAAAAAUAAAUGCAAGAAGUUAAAGUUGUCUGAAGAGGCUUUACAAAUAGCUGAGAAAAGAAGGGAAGCGAAAGGCAAGGGAGACAGGGAAAGAAAUACCCAAAUGAAUGCAGAGUUCCAGAGAAUAGCAAGGAGAGAUAAGAAACCUUCUUAAGUGAAUAAUAAUUCAAAAAAAUAGAGGAAAACAAUAGAAUGGUAAAGACUAAAGAUCUCUUCAGGAAAAUUGGAGAUAAUCAAGGGAACAUUUCAUGCAAGGAUGGGCACGAUAAAGGACAGAAAUGGUAUGGACCUAACAAGCAGAAGAGAAAAAGGAGAGGUGGCAAGAUAACACAGAACUAUCUGAAAAAAAUCUCAAUGAUACAGAUAACCAUGAUGGUGUGGUCACUCACCUAGAGCCAGACAUCCUGGAGUGUGAAGUCAAGUGGGCCUUAGGAAGAAUUACCACAAACAAAGCUAAUGGAGGUGAUGGAAUUCCAGCUGAGCUAUUUCAAAUCCUAAAAGAUGGUGCUGUUGAAGUACUUCACUCAAUAUGUCAGCAAAUUUGGGAAACUCAGCAGUGGCCAUAGAGCUAGAAAAGGUCAGUUUUCAUUCCAUUCCCAAAGAAGAGCAAUGCCAAAGAAUGUUCAAACUACUGCAUGACUGCGCUUAUUUCAAAUGCUCACAAGGUAAUGUUCAAAAUCCUUCAGGCUAGGUUUCAGCAGUACGUGAAUCUAGAACUUCCAGAUGUACAAACUGGGUUUGGAAAAGGUAGAGGAACCAGAGAUCAAAUUGCCAACAUUUGUUGGAUCAUUGAGAAGGUAAGACAGUUCCAGAAAAAUACCUGCUUCAUUGACUAUGCUAAAGCCUUUGACUGUGUGGAUCACAACAAACUGUGGAAAAUUCUUAAAAAGAUGGGACUAUCAGACCACUGUACCUGUAUCCUGAGAAACAUGUUUGCAGGUCAAGAAGAAACAGUAAGAGCCAGACAUGGAACAAUAGACUUUCCAAAUUAGGAAAGGAGUAUGACAAGGCUGUAUAUUGUCACUCUGCUUAUUUAACUUAUAUGCAGAGUACAUCAUGCGAAAUGCCAGGCUGGAUGAAUUACAAGCUGGAAUCAAGAUUGCUGGGACAAAUAUCAACAACUUCAGGUAUGGAGAUGAUAUUUGGAAUGACAGACUAAUUACAGCUCAAGCAGACAGAUCCUUUCUUAAACAGGCAGCAGGUAGGACACUUCUGAGACAUGGGAGCUGACUGACACUGAAGGACUGACCAUGAUCCUUUUUUGUUGUUCAGUUGCUAAGUCGCUAAGUCGGGUCUAACUCUGCGAUCCCAUGAACUGUAGCACUCCAGGCUUCCCUGUCCUUCACCAUCUCCGGGAGUUUGCUCAAACUCAUGUCCCUUGAGUCAGUGAUGUUAUCCAACCAGCUCAUCUUCUGUUGCGCCCUUCUCCUGCCCUCAAUUUUUCCCAGCAUCAAGGUCUUUUCCAGUGAGUCGGCUCUUUGCAUCAGGUGGCCAAGUAUUGGAGCUUCAGUUUCAGCCUCAGUCCUUCCAAUGAAUAUUCAGGAUUGAUUUCCUUUAGAAUUGCCUGGUUUGAUCUUGCAGUCCAAGGGAUUCUCAAGAGUCUUCUCCAGCACCAUAAUUCAAAACAUUAGUUCUUCAUAGCCCAGCCUUCUUUAUGGUCCAACAUCUGUACAUGACUACUGGGAAAACCGGGAAAACCAUAGCUUUGCCUAUAUGGACCUUUGUCAGCAAAGUGUUGUCUCUGCUUUUAAUAAGCUGUCUAGGUUUGUCAUGGGCUUCCCUGGACCUCAGUUGGUAAAGGAUUCACCUGUAAUGCGGGAGACCCCGGUUGGAUUCCUGGGUCAGGAAGAUCCCCUGGAGAAGGGGUAUACUACCCACUCCAGUAUUCUUGGGCUUCCCUGGUGGCUCAGACCAGAAAGAAUCUGCCUGCAAUGCGGGAGAUCUGGGUUCAAUCCCUGGGUUGGGAGGAUCCCCUGGAAGAAGGCAUGGCAACCCACUCCAGUGUUCUUGCCUGAAGAAUCCCCGUGGACAAAGAAGCCUGGAGGGCUACAGUCCAUGCUGUCUCAGAGUUGGACACGACUGAGUGACUGAUACUUUUACACUUUCAUUUUCAGGUUUGUCAUAGCUUUUCUUCCAAGAAGCAACUGUCAUUUAAUUUCAUGGCUGCAGUCACCAUCCACAAUGAUUUUGGGGCCCAAGAGAAAAAUUGAUUCUGUCUUUCUCCUUUUUAUAUCCCUUAUCUUCUCCUCUUGGUUCUGCCCUGUGCAAAAAUGCAAAGAGGCAUAUGCUCAAGGCCAAUCAGGGAAGGGGGCGUGUCUGGGCUCAUGCAAAAUAGAGCUUUUUACAUAUUCAUAUAGGUGGGAGUGUACUGAGCACUUACAGGCUCUAUUGCACAUGUCUUUCCCAUAGUUCAGUCUGUUAUAAUCAGAUGUAUGUAUGUGUAGAAUAUUUAUGAGCCCGUAAUGGGCUCCUAGCUGCCUAAGGUUACUUGAGGACACAGCUGUGCCUCAAGGGUGCUUUUGCCAGAGUGGGAGAAACCUCUGUGGUUAGUUUGUAUCCACUCACUGUGUGCUGAUGGCCCCUGUGCAGGAGCUGGAAAAGCCUGUGGUUAUUACUAUUUUUUUUUUCUGUUAUUUAUUUUUAUUUAUUUAAUUUUUUUGUUUAAAAUUUCUUUUUUAAAAAUUUCUUUUUUUUACUUUACAAUAUUGUAUUGGUUUUGCCAUACAUGUGGUUAUUUUUGUAACAUAUCUGUGAGAUCUCCUGGAUGUGUCUGGGAUGGGGUUUAGCGAUCAGCUUGCAUGGUUUUUGGCUAGGCCACUCCUAGUUGCUGAUGCCGAACUUCCUACAUAACAAUACAGUGAUACAGCUCUUAAUGGCACAAAGUGAAGAGGAACUUAAAAGCUUCUUGAUGAGGAUGAAAGAGGGGAAUGAAAAAGUAGGCUUGAAACUCAACAUUCAAAAAACUAAGAUCAUGGCAUCCAGUCCCAUCACUUCAUGACAAAUAGAAGGGGAAAAACUGGAAACAGUGACAGACUUUAUUUUCUUGGGCUCCAAAAUCACUGUGGAUGAAGUUAAAAAAUCCUUGCUCCUUGGGGGAAAAGCUAUGACAAAGCUAGACAGCGAGAGAUUUGGACCAUAAAGAAGGCUGAGUGCCAAAGAAUUGGUGCUUUGAAAUUCUAGGGUUGGGGAAGACUCUUGAGAGUCCCUUGGACUGCAAGGAGAUCAAACCAGCCAAUUCUCAAGGAAAUCAACCCUGAAUAUUCAUUGGAAGGACCAGUGCUGAAGCUGAAGCUCCCAUACUUUGGCCACCUGAUUGUUUAAAAAGUAAUAGAAGGGGCUUCCCUGGUGGCUCAGUGGUAAAGAAUCCGCCUGCCAAUGCAGAAGACACUGGUUUGAUCCCUGGUCCUGGAUGAUCCCACAUCCUAUGGAGCAACUUAGCCUGUGUGCCACAACUAUUGAGACUGUGCUCUGGAAUAAAAGUCACAGCACUGAAAAGCCGAGUGCCACAACGGGAGAGUAGUCCCCGCUUGCAGCAACUAGAAAAACUCCCCACACAGCAAUGAAGACUCAGUACAGCCAAAAAUAAAUAGGUAAGUUUAGCGACCCCAUGAACUGCAGCCCACCAGGCUCCUCCGUCCAUGGGAUUUUCCAGGCAAGAGUACCGGAGUGGGGUGCCAUUCCCCUCUCCGUUUUAAAAAGUAAUAGACCUCAAAUCUCAUCUUGUAGCCUACAGAACUGGUAUCAUCUUCAAGCAGUUGUCCUUUUACUCACUGACUGAGUGCCCUCUGUGUAGCAGGCCCCAGGUGAGAUGCAGCAGACAGGGCAGUGAUGUAAACAGUUUGGACCUCAUGUCUUUGUGAUUCUCUCAUGUUGAAACGUGAAAGAAGAGGAGUCAGAAAGAGAGGUAGGAGAACGUUUUGGGCAGAAGGAAAAGCAAGUGCAAAGGCUAUGAGGUGGGAACAAAUGGGUCAGCCUGUGUGGUUGGAGCUGAGUGUUGAGAUCAGAGGUCAGAAGGGACAGACUCAUCAAAGUGUGAUUGUUAUAUGCAUGGUAAAAUACAUAAAAUUGCCAUUUCCACUCUUUUUAUGUAUAUGAUUCAGUGGCAUAAAGUACAUUGAUGAUGUGCAACUAUUACAACUGUCUUGUUCCCAAAUGGAACCUGUGAAGAUGGAGAAAGAGAUCGGAGUGAUCCUGCUACAAGACUUCCCCAGGAAGUGGCUUUGGGGGUAAUACCCAAAGGUUGGAGGUUGAGUCCUGUGCAAGCAUGGAGUUUGGCAAGUGAAGAGGCAGUAAGGAUGGCUGUUUGCAGGCAGGUACACUGUCUGCAAAGCCGGAAUAUAGACAAUUUCUAGUGGUCCAGGAUUGGAAAAGGUGAGAUGCUGUAGAGGGUGGCAAAGAACACAGGGGUUAAGGGUAUAAUGUGACACCAGCUUACUGGGGAGUAAGAUCAUGCCCUGCCAUACUCUUCUGGACAGGCUGGCUCCUCAGGGAGGACUCAGAGGCAGGUUCUGGCCUGGCCUUGCCCUCCUGCAAGCCCACUUGUCUCCACCAUCACACUUCCCCCAGUUUGUGUGAGCCUGAUUUCCACUCGAACCUGCCUCCACUGAUGCUAUUCUGAAAGAAUUGCCUUGCCGGAGUCUAGUGAAGGGACAGUAACCGGGGCCACCGCAGGACCCAACCUGUCCAGCAAUUUCUAGGCACUUCCCACCUCUCUGGUCACUGCUGCCUCAGUGCCUGCCUGCCUCAGGGCCUGUGCACUUGCUUCUGCCUGAACUGUUCUGUGCUGUUGGAGGAAACUCUUGAGAGUCCCUUGGACUGCAAGGAGAUCCAACCAGUCCGUCUUAAAGGAGAUCAGUCCUGAGUGUUCAUUGGACGGACUGAUGUUGAAGCUGAGACUCCAAUACUUUGGCCACCUGAUGAGAAGAGCUGACUCAUUUGAAAAGACCCUGAUGCUGGGAAAGAUUGAAGGCAGGAGGAGAAGGGGACCACAGAGGAUGAGAUGGUUGGAUGGCAUCACCGACUCAAUGGACAUGAGUUUGGGUGAACUGCGGGAGUUGGUGAUGGACAGGGAGGCCUGACAUGCUGCGUUUCAUGGGGUCCAACGAGUCGGACACGACUGAGUGACUGAACUGUUCUUCCCCUAACUGUUAGGGCCAGCCCUGAGUCCCACACUCUUGACCAUCACCUACGUAUUUUGACUGUUGGGCCAGGAUAGGUAUGGCUCAUCCCUACCCCACGCAACCCGGUGAUUUUGGGGCCCAGCACAGAGUGCUGGACUGGGGUCAUGGAAAGUGCUCAGCAAAUAAUUACUAAAGGAUUCCGCGCCUCAGGCAGCUCACGGCCAGCCACCAACUUUCCUCCUCCCUCUUCCUAGGAGGGAAGCGGGGUCUAGGCCCAGGCCGCGGGGGAGGGCAAGGCCCGCGGCGGGG
ensembl:lncRNA